ACUCGUGCUGGUCGUGCGCUCCGGCUCACGGACGGACCGGCGCGGAGAAUAUCGCGUUUUCUGUCAGCGCAGGAGGAGAGGUUCUCUGGAUGAACAUGGCCAAAAACACGUCUCUGUACUUUCGGAUCGUCGAGGGACGGAACCUUCCGGCCAAGGACGUCUCCGGCAGCAGUGACCCGUACUGCGUCAUCAAAGUGGACAACGAAGUGGUGGCCAGAACUGCCACAGUGUGGAAAAACCUGAAUCCUUUCUGGGGAGAAGAAUACACAUUGCACCUCCCGAUGGGAUUCCAUUCUCUCUCCUUUCAUGUCAUGGACGAGGACACAAUUGGCCACGAUGACGUAAUUGGAAAGAUAACUUUGAGCAAAGAAGCCAUCGGAUCUCAAGCUAAAGGCUUAGAUUGCUGGCUGAACCUGACACGAGUUGAUCCAAAUGAGGAGGUCCAGGGGGAAAUCCACCUGAGUCUGGAACUGUUGAAACGCACAGAAAGGAGCAACCUGCGAUGUCAGGUUUUUGAAGCCAGAGACCUGGCUCCGAGAGACAUCUCUGGGACCUCAGACCCCUUUGCCAGAGUUAUUUUCAACAACCACAGUGCAGAGACAUCGAUCAUCAAGAAGACUCGUUUCCCUCACUGGGGAGAGACCCUGGAGCUGGAUUUGGGCCCAGAGGAGCUGAGUGAGGAGGGCCUGGUCACCGUGGAGGUCUGGGACUGGGACAUGGUGGGCAGGAAUGACUUCCUGGGAAAGGUGGAAAUCCCGCUUGGAUGCUUGCACUCGACGCCUGUCUUAGAGAGCUGGUUUCGUCUGCUGCCUCUGGGGAACCGUGAGCUGGAUGCUGGCGGUAAGCUGGGGGCGCUGCGUCUGAAGGUGCGUCUGGUGGAAGACCGGAUCCUGCCCUCUGUUUACUAUCAGCCCCUCCUGGACCUUCUGGUGGAGUCGGUCAUCUCUCCUGCAGAGGUGGAGGACAGCAGUGCUCUGACCCUGCUGGAGGAGGUGACCACAGCGGAGAGUCGGCAGGAUGUAGCCAUGACCCUGGUGAAGAUUUACCUGGGACAAGGCCUGGUGGUGCCCUUCCUGGAUUACCUGAACACCCGUGAGGUUCACCACACCUCUGACCCCAACACUUUAUUUCGUUCCAACUCACUCGCAUCCAAAGCCAUGGAACAGUUCAUGAAGGCCGCUGGCACGCUUUAUUUGCACGAGGUGCUGAAGCCCAUCAUCAACCGCAUCUUUGAGGAGAAGAAGUAUGUUGAGCUGGACCCAUGUAAGAUCGACCUGAACCGCCUGAGGAGAAUUUCUUUUAAGGGGGGGCUGACGGAGGCGGACGUGCGUGACAGCAGUGUGGAGACGUUGCAGAACUACUUAUCGAGCGUUGUCAAAUCCAUCGUGAGCUCAGUGGAUCAGUGUCCACCUGUCAUGAGAGUGGCCUUCAAGCAGCUCCACAAGAGGGUGGAAGAGCAGUUUGCUGGACCUGAGCACGAGGACGUCAAAUAUCUGGCCAUCAGCGGCUUCUUCUUCCUGCGGUUUUUUGCGCCCGCAAUCCUCACACCAAAACUCUUCCAGCUGAGGGAGCAGCACGCCGAUCCGCGCACCAGCAGGACUUUGUUACUCUUGGCCAAGGCUUUACAAAGUGUCGGGAACUUGGGCCUUCAGUUGGGUCACGGAAAGGAGCAGUGGAUGGCACCUCUCCAUCCGAUCAUCCUCCGCAGUGUGGCCUCAGUCAAAGACUUCCUGGACAGACUGAUUGACAUCGACCACAGUGCUGCGUCUGAGGUGCCGCAGCGGGCUGUGCUCAUGCCAUCAGUCACGGUGAAGGAGGGGUUUCUCCACAAACACAAGGCGGAGGGGACGCAGCUGCUGUCCCGCUUUGCCUUUAAAAAGCGCUACUUCUGGUUGACCAGUGAGACCCUGUCCUACGCAAAGACCACUGACUGGCAGACGCGCUCCUCCAUCCCUGUCCAGUGUGUGCGCGCAGUGGAACGUGUGGAUGAAAAUGCAUUCCAGCAACCGAACGUGAUGCAGGUCGUCACGCAGAACGCGGACGGACAGUUGGACACCAUCUACAUCCAGUGCAAGAAUGUGAACGAGCUAAACCAGUGGCUGUCCGCCGUCAGGAAAGUCAGCAUCUACAACGAGCGCAUGCUGUCCUCCUUCCACCCAGGCGCUCAUCGCAGCAGCAAAUGGACCUGCUGCCUGAAGGCGGACCGUGCUGGUCCAGGUUGCAGCAGAACUCACUGUGCUGCCACACUGGGAGACUGGAGUGACCCUCUGGAUCCGGACGGGGAGACGCAGGCCAUUUACAAGCAGCUGGUCAACGGCAGAGACAAGCUGAGGAAAAAGUAUGUGGAGACAGUGCAGAUGGAAAAGACGUCCUGCAAAAGAGAAGAGACAAUCGGCUCUGAUGUUCACUCAGAUGGUGCAGAGGGUUCUGUUCAGCUUCCGACGCCAGGCCAAAGUGUCGCCGGUCGGCUCUUAGCGGUCAUAGAGGAUCUGGAUCAAGCUCACGCCACCUUUGAGCGUAAGGAAAUGGAAGACUGAAUGAACAUGAGUGACGCGCUGAGGGAGUUCUGCUACAUAGAAACAUUUGCUUUCUUUGAGUGCCAGUGAUUCCACAAGGUGAUGAACUCUGGGGACAUCAGAGGGACCAAAGGCAGACUUAAGAAAUCCAGGAAGGAAGAAUCACAGCCGAUGCUGAGCACAUUUCCAUGUUGGCACAGCCAAGCGGUUCCUAACUCUCCUGUUCCAUCCACCCCUGGACUCAUUCUCCACUGCCGACAAACCUGGGACCGGGCAAGAAGAGCCCUGCUACGGUCUUCAUUGGCCUAUAAAGAUGCUGCUGAUCGGAAAAGUUCCUCUGCGCCACCAUACGAGCCUGGUCAGAAGGUUUGGCUAUCCACUCGUCACCUUCCGUUGAAAGAACUGCCCAGAAAUCUGGCUCCCAGGUUCAUUGGCCCAUUCCCGGUCUCCAAAAUCAUUAACCCAGUAUCUGUUCACCUCCGUCUCCCAAGGUCUCUGCGCAUACAUCCUACCUUUCACGUCAGCCAUGUGAAGCCUGUCCAGUCCAACCCAUUGUGCCCUCCAGCCGUUCCCCACCCUUCCGCCGGUUUGUGGAUGGUGACCCUGUUUUUAUUGUGCGGCGGCUCCUGGACUCUAGCCGCCGUGGAAUCCAGUAUCUCAUGGACUGGGAGGGCUAUGGCCUGGUAUAUACAUUCUUUAUUUUUAAUGGUAUAAGGGGAGGGUGCUUAUAAGCUUUGCUUCUGCCUUCACCCUUU